rnacentral:rRNA from 1 species
GACGAACGCUGGCGGCGUGCCUAAUACAUGCAAGUCGAACGCAGUGGGGACGGGUGAGUAACACGUGGGUAACCUCCCAUCAGAGGGGAUAACACUUGGAAACAGGUGCUAAACCGAUACUGAUGGAUGAACCCGCGGUGCAUUAGCUAGUUGGUGAGGUAACGGCUCACCAAGGCCACGAUGCAUAGCCGACCCUAGAGGGGGACCGGCCCCAACGGGACUGGGACCAGGACCCGACUCCUACGGGAGGCCGCAGUAGGGAAUUCUCGGGCAAUGAAGAAAGUCUUAACCAAUCACGCCGCGGUAGGUGAGAAGGUUUUCGGAUCGUAAAACUCUGUUGUUAGAGAAGCGGUAUCUAACCAGAAAGCCACGGCUAACUACGUGCCAGCAGCCGCGGUAAUUC